rnacentral:rRNA from 1 species
UACGAAGGGGGCUAGCGUUGCUCGGAAUUACUGGGCGUAAAGCGCACGUAGGCGGAUUGUUAAGUCGGGGGUGAAAUCCUGGAGCUCAACUCCAGAACUGCCUUCGAUACUGGCGAUCUCGAGUUCGGGAGAGGUGAGUGGAACUGCGAGUGUAGAGGUGAAAUUCGUAGAUAUUCGCAAGUACACCAGUGGCGAAGGCGGCUCACUGGCCCGAUACUGACGCUGAGGUGCGAAAGCGUGGGGAGCAAACAGG